GAUGAACGCUGGCGGCGUGCCUAAUACAUGCAAGUCGAGCGAACAGACGAGGAGCUUGCUCCUUUGACGUUAGCGGCGGACGGGUGAGUAACACGUAGGUAACCUACCUAUAAGACUGGGAUAACUUCGGGAAACCGGAGCUAAUACCGGAUAAUAUUUCGAACCGCAUGGUUCGAUAGUGAAAGAUGGCUUUGCUAUCACUUAUAGAUGGACCUGCGCCGUAUUAGCUAGUUGGUAAGGUAACGGCUUACCAAGGCAACGAUACGUAGCCGACCUGAGAGGGUGAUCGGCCACACUGGAACUGAGACACGGUCCAGACUCCUACGGUGGGCAGCAGUAGGGAAUCUUCCGCAAUGGGCGAAAGCCUGACGGAGCAACGCCGCGUGAGUGAUGAAGGUCUUCGGAUCGUAAAACUCUGUUAUUAGGGAAGAACAAACGUGUAAGUAACUGUGCACGUCUUGACGGUACCUAAUCAGAAAGCCACGGCUAACUACGUG
rnacentral:rRNA from 1 species